CACGACUGAAGCGACUUAGCAGCCACAGCAGCUACUAUGGACUGAAUGUGUCCCCCCAAAAUUCAUAUGUUGAAAUCCAUCAUAUGAUGGUUUUAGGAGGUAAGGCUUUUGGGAGGUGAUUAGGUCAUGAGGGGUCCAUCCUCAUGAAUGAUGUUCAGUUCAGUUCAGUUCAGUCACUCAAUUGUGUCCGACUCUUUGCAACCGCAUGAAUCGCAGCACACCAGGUCUCCCUGUCCAUCACCAACUCCCGGAGUUCACUCAGACUCACAUCUAUCAUGACGGUGAUGCCCUCCAGCCAUCUCAUCCUCUGUCGUCCCCUUCUCCUCCUGCCCCCAAUCCCUCCCAGCAUCAGGUCUUUUCCAAUGAGUCAACUCUUCAUUUUAGCAUCAUUCCUUCCAAAGAACACCCACGACGGAUCUUCUUUAGGAUGGACUGGUUGGAUCUCCUUGCAGUCCAAGGGAUUCUCAAGAGUCUUCUCCAACACCACAGUUCAAAAGCAUCAGUACUUCGGUGCUCAGCCUUCUUCACAGUCCAACUAUGAGCUGGCGGUGGCUGAGACGAGCUACCCAACGCCUGAGUUCAGGUGCAGCGGCCAAGAGGAGCAACCCCACGUCCAAGGAGCAGUGGCUGUGCGAGCACAGGAGGGCUGAGAGGUGUUACUCCAUGUUCAAGGUCAGGAGGGGUGGCCGUGAGGCGAUACCCUUCAUCCAAGGUAAGGAGAAGCGGCUGUGCUUUGCUGGAGCAUCCAUGAAGAUAUACCCACAUCCAAGGUAAGAGAAACCCAACUAAGAUGGUAGGUGUUGUGAGAGGGCAUCAGAGGGCAGACACACUAAACCAUAAUCACAGAAAACUAGCCAGUCUGAUCACAUGGACAACAAACCCUGUCUAACUCAAUGAAACUAUGCCAUGCCAUGUGGGGCCAGCCAAGAUGGACGGUCAUGGUGGAGAGGUCUGACAGAAUGUGGUCCACUGCAGAAAAGAAUGGCAAACAACUUCAGUAUUCUUGCCUUGAGAACCCCAUAAACAGUACGAAAAGGCAAAAUGAUAGGAUACUGAAAAAGGAAUUCCCCAGGUCAGUAGGUGCCCAAUAUGCUACUAGAGAUCAGUGGAGAAAUAACUCCAGAAAGAAUGAAGGGGAUGGAGCCAAAGCAAAAACACCACCCAGUUGUGGAUGGGACUGGUGAUAGAAGCAAGGUCCAAUGCUAUAAAGAGCAAUAUUACAUAGGAACCUGGAAUGUUAGGUACAUGAAUCAAGGCAAAUUGGAAGUGGUCAAACAAGACAUGGCAGAGUGAACGUCCACAUUCUGGGAAUCAGUGAACUAAAAUGGACUGGAAUGGGUGAAUUUAACUCAGAUGACCAUUAUAUCUACUACUGUGGGCAGGAAUCCCUUAG
ensembl:lncRNA